UCCACACACUGAUUGGUUGCUGUCUUACU
rnacentral:piRNA from 1 species